rnacentral:rRNA from 1 species
GAAUAUUGCGCAAUGGACGAAAGUCUGACGCAGCCAUGCCGCGUGCAGGAAGAAUGCCCUACGGGUUGUAAACUGCUUUUGUACAGGAAGAAACCCCCUUACGUGUAAGGGGCUGACGGUACUGUACGAAUAAGCACCGGCUAACUCCGUGCCAGCCGCCGCGGUAAUACGGAGGGUGCAAGCGUUAUCCGGAUUUAUUGGGUUUAAAGGGUGCGUAGGCGGAAUAAUAAGUCAGUGGUGAAAUCUCCCAGCUCAACUGGGAAACUGCCAUUGAUACUGUUAUUCUCGAGUAUAGUUGAAGUGGGCGGAAUGUAACAUGUAGCGGUGAAAUGCUUAGAUAUGUUACAGAACACCAAUUGCGAAGGCAGUUCACUAAGCUAUUACUGACGCUGAGGCACGAAAGCGUGGGGAGCGAACAGG